UAGGGAAUCUUCGGCAAUGGACGAAAGUCUGACCGAGCAACGCCGCGUGAGUGAAGAAGGUUUUCGGAUCGUAAAACUCUGUUGUUAGAGAAGAACAAGGACGUUAGUAACUGAACGUCCCCUGACGGUAUCUAACCAGAAAGCCACGGCUAACUACGUGCCAGCAGCCGCGGUAAUACGUAGGUGGCAAGCGUUGUCCGGAUUUAUUGGGCGUAAAGCGAGCGCAGGCGGUUUCUUAAGUCUGAUGUGAAAGCCCCCGGCUCAACCGGGGAGGGUCAUUGGAAACUGGGAGACUUGAGUGCAGGAGAGGAGAGUGGAAUUCCAUGUGUAGCGGUGAAAUGCGUAGAUAUAUGGAGGAACACCAGUGGCGAAGGCGGCUCUCUGGUCUGUAACUGCCGCUGAGGCUCGAAAGCGUGGGGAGCAAACAGG
rnacentral:rRNA from 1 species